rnacentral:rRNA from 1 species
AUUGAACGCUGGCGGCGUGCUUUACACAUGCAAGUCGAACGGUAACAGGCCGCAAGGUGCUGACGAGUGGCGAACGGGUGAGUAAUGCAUCGGAACGUGCCCAGUCGUGGGGGAUAACGCAGCGAAAGCUGCGCUAAUACCGCAUACGAUCUAUGGAUGAAAGCGGGGGACCUGUAAGGGCCUCGCGCGAUUGGAGCGGCCGAUGUCAGAUAGGUAGUUGGUGGGGGAAAGGUUCACCAAGCAGACGAUCUGUAGCUGGUCUGGGGGGACGACAAGCCACACUGGGAAUGAGGAACGACCCAGACUCCUACGGGGGGCAGCGGUGGGGAAUUUUGGCCAAUGGGCGCAAGCCUGAUCCAGCAAUGCCGCGUGCAGGAAGAAGGCCUUCGGGUUGUAAACUGCUUUUGUACGGAACGAAACGGCUCUGGUUAAUACCUGGGGCUAAUGACGGUACCGUAAGAAUAAGCACCGGCUAACUACGUGCCAGCAGCCGCCGCGGUAA